GAUGAACGCUGGCGGCGUGCCUAAUACAUGCAAGUCGAGCGAACGGACGAGAAGCUUGCUUCUCUGAUGUUAGCGGCGGACGGGUGAGUAACACGUGGAUAACCUACCUAUAAGACUGGGAUAACUUCGGGAAACCGGAGCUAAUACCGGAUGAUAUUUUGAACCGCAUGGUUCAAAAGUGAAAGACGGUCUUGCUGUCACUUAUAGAUGGAUCCGCGCUGCAUUAGCUAGUUGGUAAGGUAACGGCUUACCAAGGCAACGAUGCAUAGCCGACCUGAGAGGGUGGUCGGCCACACUGGAACUGAGACACGGUCCAGACUCCUACGGGAGGCAGCAGUAGGGAAUCUUCCGCAAUGGGCGAAAGCCUGACGGGGCACCGCCGCGUGAGUGAUGAAGGUCUUCUGAUCGUAAAACUCUGUUAUUAGGGAAGAACAUAUGUGUAAGUAACUGUGCACAUCUUGACGGUACCUAAUCAGAAAGCCACGGCUAACUACGUG
rnacentral:rRNA from 1 species